UCCCUGAAGCGCUAUUGGUUAGGCCUCGGCACUCUCACUGCCACGGCCCAGGUUCGAUUCCCGGCCAGGGAC
rnacentral:tRNA from 1 species